GGGGAUGUAGUUAAUUAUAACAUUUAAUUUGCACUUAAAAGGAACUUUAUAGUCUUCCUCA
rnacentral:tRNA from 1 species